GUCGAGCAGUAUGUUAUAAACAGGAAGUGACAUCAUAUUUGGGUGUCUGUUUUCUGUUUCUUCAGUAGUUCUGGUGAUGUGGAAUCCAAGGUUUACUGUACACACAAAAAUACAUUAUUCUUUGGAAGUGCUCUGACCAAUAUAUGAAACAAGAUUUGUAGAGGUAUUUUGGAUAAAACAUGGGGACUUAAACCUGGGUUGCUACACUGGGUAUACAUAUCAUGGUUGUGAAACCCAUUAUUAUUUAUGUUGCCAUUAUUUGAUGGCAGAGAAUUUAGUUUAAGACUUACAGGAUUGAACUAGAAAAUAUUGAAAGGGUGGCACAUCUGAACAUUACAGGAGCUAUGUGGACUGCUUCUAUUGUUACUCUUGCAGCCAUCUUGGGCAUUCCUUCUUUGCAUUUGUGUGUUGAGGCUAGUGCCUAAGAGGGUUAUUAUAUGCUCCAUUCUUAUUGGAGAAGAAUCUCUUGGACCUAUAAAGUAGAACACUCAGUUUUUGAAUGGGACAAGUCACACACUCAUAUUCAUGAGUUGGUUAAGGAUUAUAUAUGCCCAGGUUUAGCUUCUUUUAGGCCCUUCACUGUUGCUUUUCCUUGCUUGGAGGGCUGGGGAAAUGGAUUUUUUUCCACAGUAUCAAGGAUGGACUGAUCUGGUUUACAGAUGGUUCUAAAACAACUAACUAGUGUUGGGGCAGAGAUUUAUGUGAGGGAAUGAGAAUGUCUUAUUCCCUCAGAUGGUUUGCCACUGUCUUUCAGGCAGAAAUCUAUACUAUUU
rnacentral:lncRNA from 1 species